UGUGGCUGCAGUGUGAUCAGCCAACCUCUUGCUCCUACCACCAGACUUUCCUUGCCUGCUGCCAUGAUGGACUGCACUCUUCUUGAACUGCUACAGUCCAUGACCGAAGAAAGUAAAGGCAGAAACUCCAAGGCAGGCCUGCUUGCUACUCCAUGCCGCAUUACCUCUGACCAGGGAAUUUGCAUAGCCAAAAGGUACAGCAGAAACGAUGGAAGAUUGGUGCUUGAUGACUUUUGCAAACUCAUGUUUAACUAUCUGUCUUAUACAACUCAGGACCACCUGGCCAAAGAAUGGUUCCACCCACAGUGGGCUAGAUCCUUCUACAUCAAUGAAAGCAAUUGUGACGAUUCCCCACAGACAUGCCCACAGGUACCUUAGGAGGAAAGGAUGCUAAACUUGGUAAGAAUGGAAACCUGUGUGUUUCCAUUCAACCUGAGCCUGAGGAAGUGUGUUCCAGCCAUUAAGACACAGCUGCCUGGCUAACACAGCUCUUGCUGGAAGCCUGCAGCAAGCUCUGC
rnacentral:lncRNA from 1 species